CGGAGGGGGCUAGCGUUGUUCGGAAUUACUGGGGCGUAAAGCGCACGUAGGCGGACCAUCAAGUUGGGGGGUGAAAUCCCGGGGGCUCAACCCCCGGAACUGCCUCCAAAAACUGCUGGUCUGGAGGUCGAGAGAGGCGAGUGGAAUUCCGAGUGUAGAGGUGAAAUUCGUAGAUAUUCGGAGGAACACCAGUGGCGAAGGCGGCUCGCUGGCUCGAUACUGACGCUGAGGUGCGAAAAGCGUGGGGGAGCAAACAGGAUU
rnacentral:rRNA from 1 species